rnacentral:SRP_RNA from 1 species
GGGUGGGUGCUAUACGACCAGCUCCCUUUGAAUUCCCCCAGGUUUUGACCGAAGCAAGGGUAGGAGGUUGUAGCGGUGCGAUAUAGUUAGCCCAUCCUUU